AGUGAACGCUGGCGGUAGGCCUAACACAUGCAAGUCGAACGGCAGCACAGUAAGAGCUUGCUCUUACGGGUGGCGAGUGGCGGACGGGUGAGGAAUACAUCGGAAUCUACUUUUUCGUGGGGGAUAACGUAGGGAAACUUACGCUAAUACCGCAUACGACCUACGGGUGAAAGCAGGGGAUCUUCGGACCUUGCGCGAUUGAAUGAGCCGAUGUCGGAUUAGCUAGUUGGCGGGGUAAAGGCCCACCAAGGCGACGAUCCGUAGCUGGUCUGAGAGGAUGAUCAGCCACACUGGAACUGAGACACGGUCCAGACUCCUACGGGAGGCAGCAGUGGGGAAUAUUGGACAAUGGGCGCAAGCCUGAUCCAGCCAUACCGCGUGGGUGAAGAAGGCCUUCGGGUUGUAAAGCCCUUUUGUUGGGAAAGAAAAGCAGCGGGUUAAUACCCCGCUGUUCUGACGGUACCCAAAGAAUAAGCACCGGCUAACUUCG
rnacentral:rRNA from 1 species